AUUGAACGCUGGCGGCAUGCCUUACACAUGCAAGUCGAACGGCAGCACGGGGGCAACCCUGGUGGCGAGUGGCGAACGGGUGAGUAAUACAUCGGAAUGUACCCAGUAGUGGGGGGAUAACUAGUCGAAAGAUUAGCUAAUACCGCAUACGCACUAUGGUGGAAAGCGGGGGGAUCGCAAGACCUCGCGCUAUUGGAGCAGCCGAUGUCCGAUUAGGUAGUUGGUGGGGUAAAAGCCUACCAAGCCUGCGAUCGGUAACUGGUCUGAGAGGACGACCAGUCACACUGGGACUGAGACACGGCCCAGACUCCUACGGGAGGCAGCAGUGGGGAAUUUUGGACAAUGGGGGAAACCCUGAUCCAGCAAUGCCGCGUGUGUGACGAAGGCCUCGGUUGUAAGCACUUUGUCGGGAACGAAACGGACGCUUCUAAUACAGAGUGCUAAUGACGGUACCCGGCAGAAUAAGACACCGGCUAACUACGUACCA
rnacentral:rRNA from 1 species